rnacentral:rRNA from 1 species
CGGACGGGUGAGUAAUGUCUGGGAAACUGCCUGAUGGAGGGGGAUAACUACUGGAAACGGUAGCUAAUACCGCAUAACGUCGCAAGACCAAAGAGGGGGACCCUCGGGCCUCUUGCCAUCGGAUGUGCCCAGAUGGGAUUAGCUAGUAGGUGGGGUAAAGGCUCACCUAGGCGACGAUCCCUAGCUGGUCUGAGAGGAUGACCAGCCACACUGGAACUGAGACACGGUCCAG